rnacentral:lncRNA from 1 species
AUGUUGGAUUUACUGGCACAGAGUUGUUUCCAGUACACGAUCCUUUAUCAUAUCUGCGGCGUCUGUAGGGACAUCCUUUCGGUCAUUCUUGACGUCGCUCCUCUUUCUUGGCCAAUCUGGUCUGAGGUCCGUCAUUUUCUUCAAAAUCCUUUCAGAGAACAAUUUCUUGGUCUCAUGGGUUUUCCCCGAUGGUUUUCCGCCCUGAUCUCUGAGAUGUCCUUGGUCCGGGAAUGGGGUGAAGCCCAUGCACGUUGUCCCCCACAUACUGUCCCCCGGUGUACGGUGUUCCUCAGUGCACGCUGUCCCCUGGUGCACACUGUCCCUCGCACGCUGUCCCUUGCAUGCUGUCCCCCGGUGCAUGCUGUCCCUCACACGCUGUCCCCCAGUGCACGCUGUCCCCCGGUGCACGCUGUCCCUCGGUGCACGCUGUCCCCUGGUGCACACUGUCCCUUGCACGCUGUCCCUCAUUGCACUUGUACCCUGGUGUACGCUGUCCCUAGCACGCUGUCCCCGGUGCAUGCUGUCCCCCGGUGCAUGCUGUCCCUCAGUGCAUGCUGUCCCCCGGUGCAUACUGUCCCUCGCACGCUGUCCCUCAGUGCACGCUGUCCCCCGGUGCACGCUGUCCCCCGGUGUAUGCUGUCUCUCGCACGCUGUCCCCCGGUGCACGCUGACCCUCGCACGCUGUCCCCCGGUGCACGCUGUCCCUCAGUGCAUGCUGUCUCCCAGUGGAUGCUGUCCCUCGUUGCACGCUGUCUCUCGUUGCACGCUGUCCCUUGGUGCACGCUGUCCCUUGCACGCUGUCCCUCGUUGCACGCUGUCCUUGCACGCUGUCCCUCGUUGCACGCUGUCCCCGUUGCACGCUGUCCCUUGCACGCUGUCCCCCGGUGCACGCUGUCCCUCGCACGCUGUCUCUCGUUGCACGCUGUCCCUUGUUGCACACUGUCCCUCGCGCUGUCCUCGGUGCACGCUGUCCCUCGGUGCACGUUGUCCCUCGCACGCUGUCCCCUGGUGCCUCACGCACGCGGCCGUGGGUACCCGGCAGGUCUUGGGCUCAGAACCGCGGCCUGCAGCCCACCCCGGAGUGCCAGCGCCCCCAGUCCCCAGGCCCGGGCUGGGGCGAGUCCGAGCUUCACGCGGGACGGGCCGACGGUUCCGGGAACACAAUCUCGGAGGACGUGA